UAGUGAUGAUGAUGGAAUUAAGGCUUGUUUCUCAAAACAUUUCUCAGUUGCCGCCAAAGUGCUUUCGCUCUGCCAGGCUUGAGAGCAAAUGCUGUCAAUUUCUUCCUUGGAUGUUCAAUUG